rnacentral:rRNA from 1 species
GGUUGACCUCGGAUCAGGUAGGAAUACCCGCUGAACUUAAGCAUAUCAAUAAGCGGAGGAAAAGAAACCAACAGGGAUUGCCUCAGUAACGGCGAGUGAAGCGGCAACAGCUCAAAUUUGAAAUCUGGCCCUGUGCCCGAGUUGUAAUUUGUAGAGGAUGCUUUCGGCGCGGCGCCUUCCGAGUUCCCUGGAACGGGACGCCACAGAGGGUGAGAGCCCCGUAUGGUUGGAUGCCAAGCCAUUGUAUAGCUCCUUCGACGAGUCAAGUAGUUUGGGAAUGCUGCUUAAAAUGGGAGGUAAAUUUCUUCUAAAGCUAAAUACCGGCCAGAGACCGAUAGCGAAAAAGUAGAGUGAUCGAAAGAUGAAAAGCACUUUGAAAAGAGGGUUAAACAGCACGUGAAAUUGUUGAAAGGGAAGCGCUUGUGACCAGACCUGCGCCCUGGGGAUAUCCGGCGUUCUCGCCGGUACUUUCCGCUGGGCUGCAGGCCAGCAUCGGUUUUCCUAGGGGGAUAAAAGCUUCGGGAACGUGGCUCCUUCGGGAGUGUUAUAGCCCGUCGUACAAUACCCUUGGGGGGACCGAGGUACGCGCUCCGCAAGGAUGCUGGCGUAAUGGUCAUCAGCGACCCGUCUUGAAACACGGACCAAGGAGUCAAGCAUUAGGGCGAGUGUAUGGGUGCAAAACCCGCACGCGAAAUGAAAGUGAACGUAGGUGAGAGCUUCGGCGCAUCAUCGACCGAUCCUGAAGUCUUCGGAUGGAUUUGAGUAAGAGCCUUACCGCUUGGACCCGAAAGAUGGUGAACUAUGCCUGUAUAGGGUGAAGCCAGAGGAAACUCUGGUGGAGGCUCGCAGCGGUUCUGACGUGCAAAUCGAUCGUCAAAUAUGGGCAUGGGGGCGAAAGUAAGUUAUACCGUUUUUUCAUACGGGAUUAUCUUAAAUAUAAGCUGUUACUAACGAUCUUUAUAGGACUAAUCGAACUAUCUAGUAGCUGGUUACCGCCGAAGUUUCCCUCAGGAUAGCAGUGUUGUUUUCAGUUUUAUGAGGUAAAGCGAAUGAUUAGGGACUCGGGGGCGCUAUUUUGCCUUCAUCCAUUCUCAAACUUUAAAUAUGUAAGAAGCCCUUGUUACUUUGUUGAACGUGGGCCUUCGAAUGCAGCAACACUAGUGGGCCAUUUUUGGUAAGCAGAACUGGCGAUGCGGGAUGAACCGAACGCGGGGUUAAGGUGCCAGAGUGGACGCUCAUCAGACACCACAAAAGGCGUUAAUACAUCUUGACAGUAGGACGGUGGCCAUGGAAGUCGGAAUCCGCUAAGGACUGUGUAAGUAAAACCAUCCCUCUCCACUGUCGGAAGUUGAUUCCCUGGUGAAAAAAAACCGGGAUUCAACAACCGUAUAAUAUAAUUCUCGCCUAAUAAUACCAAUACUAACAAUUCUUUUAUAGGUAACAACUCACCUACCGAAUGUAUUAGCCCUGAAAAUGGAUGGCGCUCAAGCGUCCCACCCAUACCCCGCCCUCAGGGUAGAAACGAUGCCCUGAGGAGUAGGCGGCCGCGGGGGCGGUGACGAAGCCCAGGGCGUGAGCCCGGGUCGAACCGCCUCUGGUGCAGAUCUUGGUGGUAGUAGCAAAUACUUCAAUGAGAACUUGAAGGACCGAAGUGGGGAAAGGUUCCAUGUGAACAGCGGUUGGACGUGGGUUAGCCGAUCCUAAGCCAUAGGGAAGUUCCGUUUCAAAGGGGCACUCGUGCCCCGCAUGGCGAAAGGGAAGCAGGUCAAUAUUCCUGCGCCUGGAUGCGGGUUUUUCGCGGCAACGCAACUGAACGCGGAGACGGCGGCGGGGGCCCCGGGCAGAGUUCUCUUUUCUUCUUAACGGUCUGCCACCCUGAAAACAGUUUGUCUGGAGAUAGGGUCCCAUGGCCGGAAGAGCCCAGCACCUCUGCUGGGUCCGGUGCGCCCCCGACGUCCCUUGAAAAUCCGCGGGA